UAGAGCUUAGGAAAUACGUGUUUGAAGAUUUAAAAUAUAGUUCUUUGAACUCCUUAGAGGAAAAGUCUAUGAAUAAAUAAUUAGACUCAUUUCACAUCAAAAUCUAAAGUGUGAAAAAAUGUUCGUAUCAUUUGGUGCUUUAUUCACUUGUAUGGUAAUCUAAUGGCAUACCCAUUGUUAACACUGAACUGUACUGAAAUAUUUUACUCUCAGGGCUUUUCAUCUGACAAAGGAGGCUUUUUGAAAAUGAAAAAUCACAGCUCCUGUCCCUGUUUAACAGGUUUAGUCACCACAGUUGAAAGGCAUCAUCCUCAUAAUGAAGCCAGAGAAGAAUAAAGGUUGAUCAUGCAGGGCUGGCUGGCUGUGACAUUGAACAAUAGAGCUUGACUUCUUCAUGUCUGUUAAAUUAGACUAUGGGGUGUGCUUAUCUUGCUGCAAUGAUACUGAAUUGUAACAUGAAAAUGUUAUGUUGUGCAGCUCUGCGAAGGGAGUUCAUCCGUUCUCACCUCAUAUGUAUGGCAAAAGCUUUAAAAUACUACUGAAGCUGCCUAGUGGGCUUAAAGUCUAAUGGCACAGAAUUGGGCAUAAUAAUGAAACAAAUAAAGAAAAAGUGCAAAGGCUUUUAAAUGUCUUGUACAAUUUUAUUUAUAGUAGUCUUUUAAGGGUCUAAGGCAGAACACAAGAAGGGUAUGCUGGAAAAAUUCCAUUUGGAAGAGGUCUUUGAAGGAGAUAAGUGUUACGGCCUGAAGGAAAAGUAAGAAGAUAUGUUGCGUAGGUGAGUGAUUUAUUCUAAACUUUUCUACACGUGUACUUGAUACAUACAACUCAAUUCUUUAAAUAUUGAUAAAAUACCUACUAUGUUCCCAGCACCGUGUUGGAUACCAUAGGAGAUUUUGAAAGAGCAUUAAAUUCAGUCCUGCCUUGAGCAAUUUAGUAUUUUUUGAGGCGACAGAAAUGAAAUCCAUGAAAUAAUUUCUUAGAAUUGUCGGAUAUGUGAAUGACAGUAUUAUAAGCUGUCAAGAUCAUGUAAAAUUUUGAUUCUGUUAUUAUAUGUAUCAUUCCCAGAUGUGUCACAUGAGCUUUUGAUAGGCAUACCUUUUAUGUUUUCAAGUCUCUGAUAAAAAUGUUAAAAAGUCAAGGCCAUGGUUAGGUUAGGGGCAAGAAAGAGCCUUCUGACACUUCCCAUACUUGUUCUUCACACAUGCUUUUUGUCUACUUUUGAACCUGUGUUAUUUUCUAAAUGUGUAUAAGCCACAAAUUAGUAAUCUGUUACAAAAUUUUAUCGUGGAUGUUAAGCUACUGUUCAAGUUAUACACACAUACAUGUGUGUGUAAAAAUCUGGAUUAAUAUUCUAGUUCUUUCAGAGCAAUUAUCCUGCAAAUCCUGCCAGGUGAUGGGAAUAAAUAGGGUGCCCAUCACCCAGAGGUUUCCUUUUAGGGGAAGUAAGAGCAUGGGAGCUAACCAACACCAAGCACCAUGUACCCAAAUCUUAGCAAGCAUAACUAUAGCUACCAGUUAUCUGGGCAUGUCACAGGACAUCCAAGGAGGACUCAAUUCCACAGUUUCACCUGGGCAUUCGGCUUAUGAAAAGGAGUCCAUGCAACCCCCCAAGACACAUUUUUGUCCCAAAUUCAAUUCCAAGCUUUGGGUCAAAGCCCUGGGAAAGAAAACUGGAUCUAAGGGAUCUAGAGGCAGAUGAUAAUAGAGGUUAAAAGGCACAGUGCAGGUGAGCAUGGCUAGUUUCUGCCAAUUAAGCCAAGCCUCCCAUUUCAUGGAUAAAGGUCAAGCUAAUAUUCAUGGCAUAAAUGAGGUCCCGGGAACUCCAAGGCUACUGACAGUAGCAGGGAUAGAGACAUAGGUGAGAGCAGAUAAUUCCUAUUCUCUAGGCCCUCCCUGCUUCAUGGCUACAAACUGCUUUGGCACCCAUGAGUGGCACCUGUUAUGGUUUCUAGGACUCAGGGAUGCAAGGAUGGAAGAGGGAAAGAGGACUCACUUCCUUCUUUCCCUCACAUACCCCAGGUAUUUGCUAGGAAGAGAAGGGAACCAGGGAUGCCUGCUCCCCUCUUUCUAGAUGAGUAGCCAUUCAUCUUCAGUUUGUAUCCCUUUCAAAUGCAUCCCGAACCCCUGGGAUUCCCUUGAAAAAUGCCCUCUUUUUUCUUUUCUCCUCCUUGGUUCUCUCUUCACAGAUAGGUAAUUGUGUCUCCAUACUACGGGACAUUCCCCUAAGAUGCACCCUCCAAACUGGGAAAAGUUAAUUUCCCAAACCUUAAACUGGUUGGCUUAGGACUGGGCUCAGGGGAAGUCCAACAUGUCGGCAAAAGGGUAGUUUUUUUUUUUUUUUUUUUUUUUUUUUUUUUUUUUUUUUUUUUUUUUUACCAGUUGGGCUUUUGGUCUUCCUCUCCCCAUGCAAACUGGUAAAAGGCCUCAGGAUUUUUGAGUUGUCCUCAGCCCCCUCCUCUUGUUUCAUUUUAAUACAUGUUUUCUAAUAACCCAGUUUGUCUCUUCUUACUUUCAGACCAUCAAACUCCAAAUGGUCAUGCAACCAAAGUCUUGAAGUCUCGGACAAUGACCCCUUCUGCCAGGAACUCUUAGAUAGGCUUCUGACUGCCAUUUUCCCCAAAACAAGACCCUCUGUCAGCAGGAAGCAGUUAAGAUCUGUCUUCAUCCUUAUCUUUAUCCUUAUUCUAAUGUCAGUUAGACAUACUUCUUUAGAGGGGGGAAUGUGACAGCCAAGUAUAAAGGGGUCGCUAGAGAACCUCUGGGACUACAGGUGUGUGCUACCACACCCGGCUAAUUUUUUGUAUUUUUAGUAGAGAUGGAGUUUCAGCAUGUUCGCCAGGCUGGUCUCGAAUUCUUGACCUCAGGUGAUCGGCUCACCUUGGCCUCCCAAAAUGCUGGGAUUACAGGUGUGAGCCACUGCGCCUGGCAACAGAUAUUUACUGAAUGCCAGUUAUGUGUCAGGUUCAGUUGCGUUGAUUAUUCACUCUCAGAGCCUCCCAGAUUUGGUCUUUCCCUUAUAUUAUUUAUUUAUUUAUUUAUUUAUUUGAAACACAGUCUCGCUGUGUCACCCAGGCUGGAGUGUAGUGUUGUGAUCUCAGUUCACUGCAACCUCUGCCUCCUGGGUUCAAGCAAUUCUCAUGCCUCAGUCACCGAGUAGCUUGGAUUACAGGUGUGUGCCACCAUGUCCAGCUAAUUUUUGUAUUUUUAGUAGAGACGGGGUUUUGCCAUGUUGGCCAGGCUGGUCUUGAACUCCUGGCCUCAAGUGAUCCACCCACCUCUGCCUCCCAAAGUGCUGGGAUUACAGGCCGCGCCACUAUGCCCAGCCUUUUCCCUUAUAUUCUCAUUCACUUCAACAACUUAAGUUCCGACCUAGAGGCCUCCAUCUCAGUCUUCCACCACACUGUAUACCUUGUUGUGCUGCCACAGGGUUUGUGGUGUCAAAGCAGGCAUCUCAGUCCAGCAUUGAGGCCUUUCAUCAUCACAGUCUUUCUAUCUGAAGUUUAUCUUCUGUCAUUCCUCAUCAUACCCACAAGAUUUGGCCAUACCUGUGUCAUUACCUUUGUUGUUGUUGUACAUACACAUGUUAUGAUUUACAUUUGGGCUUUUCCUUAUUCCUUUUCCACGUUAGCAUUUAUGAAGGUAGUCUAUACUUGAUUACCCAGGUGUUCUUUAUUUAAUGUAACUCGUAUUCCUGACAAGCUUAUCUGCACAAAAUUUUGGUACAUUGGACCAUUUAAGACAAGAGUAAAUAAUCAAUUUUAAUUUAUCUUUGUUUAAAGUUGGAGUUUUAUUUAGUGGAGAUAUGAUGCAUCUGUAUAUUGCUUUGUGCUUUGUUAAUGUUCAGAUAAGGAAACUGAGGUUCCUAGUGGUUAAGAGAUUGGCAUAGGACAUUUGGCUAGUAAAUAGAGAGAGUAGGAUUAAAACUCACAUUUUAUAACUCAUUGUCGAGUAUGCUUUUCACUAGAAUAGUUGAUUUCCUUUUAUUCUCCUCGUUUUAUGUAAUUCUGUUAUAAUAUCCCUAAAGGUAAGAGCUGUAUUUUGUAUCAUACCCCUCCUCCAAAUAUUCAUAACAUUAGUGCCUACCGUAGUUUUGGAUAAAGAGAUUUAAUUGCCAUGUUGAUAUAUGUGAAUGUAUCAGUCAUAGUGGGAUAGGUUAUGUUGCAAUAAUAAACAGCCCAUCCCCCCCAACCUCAGUGGCUUACAACACUAACAUUUCUUUCAUGUUGCAUGUUUAUCUUGGGUUUAUUGUGGCUAUGUUUCAUGUUGUCUGCAAUGUGCAACCUGGGAUCAGUAAGCAACUUCUUGAACACUUGUAGUGGAUAGAAAAAGGGCACAGUAACCCAUGUACUACUUCUCAAACAGUAAUGUUUUCACAUCUUAUUGGCCAGAGCAAUUUACAUGGUGAAGCCUGUUGUCAGUAGGGCAUAAAAGUAUAAUCCUUCUGUAGGUAGGGGCAGCAAAUAUUUUUGAAAAAUAAUACUCCGCCCAAAAAAUCUGUGACCUUACAUACAGAGCAUUGAGCAACUUGUAUUUUUCAGUUUAUGGCAUACUAUCAUCAUUGGUCCCUGUCUGGCCACUUUGUUUUUUAAUUCAUUUGUCUGUCUGUUUUAAUGUAUUCUUAUAAAAUGCAUUCUAUUGUUUGGGAUAUGUAUUUUAAAUUUAUAAGUGGUAUAAUGCUAGAGAUUGUAUUCUGUUUCUUAAUUUUUUUUCACUUAACAUUUAUUACAAGAUUUAUUCACGUUGCUGCACAUUCAUCCAGUUUGUUGCAUCUGGUGAAUAUAGUUGUCCCUUGGUACAUGUGGGGAACUAACCAGUUCUAUACCAAAAUCCACACACAGUCACAUCUGAAAGUUGACCCUGCAGAAACUGCAUAUAUGAAAAGCACCCCACCACCCACUGCUCCUUACGCACGGGUUUGCAUCUGGGGAAUGUUGUAUUUUCCAUCUGCCUUUAGUUGAAAAAAAAUCCACAUAUAAGUGUAUCUGCACAUUUCAAACCUGUGUUGUUCAAGGGUCAGCUAUCUAUAGUAUUGCAUGAUAAAUAUCCACUACACUUUACCUGUCCACUUCCCUAGAGGGUCUUCAAUUCUGUACUACAAUAAAUGGUGCUGCGUGAGAAUUUCUUUGGGCUGUACACCCAGGUAUAAGAUUGCUGGGUCUUUGGACAUACAUAUAUUUAACUAUUUAAGUAUUGCUUUCUUAUUGUUUUUGCUAAGUCUUCACAGCUAUUAAGCCUUGGUAUUAUGAGAGUUUAGUAAUUGUGUAUUCUAUCUUGUAAGUUAACCUUACUAAUUCUGUAAAAAAAGUCCACCCAACUAAGAACACACGUGUAAGUAAUGUGACAUGUAAUUCACCUCUGUAAACAUAUUUUUCACUAAUGAUUAUGUAUAUGCGUAUGUUAUAAACUGUUAUUCUGAGGCAUUAUUUUGUAUCUCUGUAAAUCAGUGAGUGGAUAAACAAAAUGUAGUAUAUUUAUUCAAUGGAAUAUUUUUCAGCAAUAAAAAUGAAUGAAUUAAUGAUACAACCUGGAUGAACCUCAGAAACAUUGUGCUAAGUAUAAGAAUCCAGUCACAAAAGACUAUUUUAAGAUAGCAUUUAUAUGAACGGUCUAGGACAGGCAAAUCUGUAGAGACAGUAGAUUAGUAGUUGCCUCGUGCAGGAAACUAGGGAGUAUGGACGGAAUGGGGUUUCUUUUGGGGGUGAUGAAAAUGUUGAAAAAUUGAUUGCGACAAUGUUUGCACACCUGUGUAAAUACACAAAAAACUAUUAAGUUGUACCAUUUAACUGGGUGAACUUUGUGGCAUGUAAAUUAUGUCUUAAUAAACCUGUUAAAGACAAAACAAAACUUCAAUCAGAUCGUUUUCCAAGAAGCAGGCUAGAAAUGAGUUAAAUGUUGACCCCUUCAUGUAGGGGGAAGAUUUUCUCCCCUUGUGAGAACCUGAAGGGAAAAAAUUGGGACAGUUUUAUUCCCAAACUCUAUCCUCAAGUUGUUUGAAAAUAAACCCAUGCAUGUUAUUUCAACUGACUAUCUCUGUGCUGAUAUACCCUCAGCCCUGAUAAUUUGUUUAACUGUUUAGUUAUCUUCAGGAUAUUUUUACUUGUAUAACCCACCACUAAUUUUCUUCCCAAUUAUCCAAUUUCUGCUGUCCUUUCGGUUUUUUAUAUCUCAGUAGUUUAUAUCUCCAUAAAUCUUGGUGAUCUCUUUCUUUUUUCUCAUUUCUAGAUUAACCUUUUAUCAUGUCAUAUCAUAUUAUCUUGAAAUUAUUUUUCACAUAUGCUUCUUUUUAUUCUUUAGACUUUACUCUGCCCAAAAGGAGAAAAUAAUUUCUUUCUUCAAUGUUUUAGAAACAAUAGCAUUGGCAGAUGUAUGCUAAUUAAUACUUGCUUAAAAACAGCAAGGAAAUUUCUUCUUUCAACACUAUUAACAAGUAUCUGACAUGAAAUAACACUUUCACAAGUAAAAGGGAUUCUGAUAUUUUACGUUCCUUAGUAAAUCUUUGGGGAGGGGGUUAGUACUAGAAAUUUUUUUCCUUUGGAGGACUGGUAAAUUCAGUUCUAAUUUUUACAUUGUUUUACAUAUGUCCUUUUAUGAUCACUAUAACAUUUGUGUUUAUCAAAUAAGUUAAAGUAUAGUAAUUUUUAAGUUAAGUAGCGAAAUCCAUGAUAAUCCAGAGAUGCUCAAGUGACUUGAAUGCUUCAACUUGAGAUGGGUCAGCUUUAGGGGUGAAGUUGUGAAGAGAAAGCCAUCACACACACUUCAUCAACACUGUGGAAUGAGGGACCGAUGCUUUUACUGAGCAGUGGAUUUCCAGUGAGCAUAUAAACUAAUUGGUGGGUGAACAUACCCCAGGAGCAAUGAUUUUAAGGUCAUAGCAGGCUCAGUGAAUAAUGCUGACUUACACUGCGUCUCACUGAUAGCUGAUCUUACCAAUGAGCAGUUUAGAGGCAUUCAAGCCUGAGCUGUCUUCCAUGUGCCUUGAAUGGCAUGUCAGUGGUCACUGUUUUUGACAUCCUUUAUAUUUGUCCAGUCAGCUCUAAAUCUUUAGGUUCAGCUUCAGAGUACUCAGGAAAGAAAAGAGAGAAGCAAUUAUUUUCAGUCAUUGAGUUUUGAAGAUCUUAGCGUUAAUUAUGCCAAACAUUGUUGGUUCAUCAACAAAUACAAACCUUAAAAGGGGUUAUGAAGCAUUCUGAACUUGCUUAAACAUAGUUUAUGGUGAUUAAGAGAAUCUUGUAUACACUAAUAUAUUUUUAGUUACACUUUCACCCAUAUAUUUUCAUAUACAGUUUCAAAACCAAAUAUUCAAAUUAAAGCUAAUUUCAGUUUUGGUUAAUAAAUUUUGAAAUGCUUAUUCACUUUAAUUAGCAUUUCUUUCGUAUUUGAAAAAAGAGGAAUAAAAAAGUACAAUUCACUAUUUCUCUGUGGAGUCCAGAGUAAUUUUGGGUGUGAAAAAUAUUUCAAUAAAACAAAAAUCACAAUGUCAUAGCUCUAGUAAUGCUAUUUAAAAAUUGAUUUAAUAGUGGGCUUUGAGAUUUAGAAAUUUUCUCCCACUUAAAUCUUUAAUUUAUCAAAGAUUAUUUGAGCAUUAAAAAUGUGCUUUGCCUAUUGUUUUCCAACUCUCUGUGCUCUCUGACUUGUUGAAGUUUUGCAGGAAGUGCCCAAUCAAAGGAUUUGAGGAAGCAGUACUGGACAUUCUUUGGAAGUGUUCAUCUGAGAAAAUGAAAGUUAGAGGCUAAACUAGUUUUCUUGUUUGCAACUCAAAUUUUAAAUCUAAUUUCCCAUGUAAAUAAAAUAAGUGAAAAGCACAAAGGAUGUAAACUUCCUAAAUCUGCCAGAAUCUUGUGUCUUAAUUAAAAAAUAAUUUUAUCAUAGCAAAAGAAACACAUUUAGUUCCUAAAGAAAAUACCAUGGGUGGUAUUCUUUUGUUGUAUUAGAGGUUUGAAGUAGAAUAGUUGUUUCUCAUGUACAUGUAUUACAGUAGACAAAGUGUUGAAUAGUUUUCAUUUCUGAUACAUUAAUGAUUAGAAAAAUCGUUACCCUAAUCCUUUUUUUAUAACUCAAAAACAAACUAAAAAGGUUUUUGUUUUUUUGGAGGAUCUGUUCUUUCCAAGAGGCUGGUGUUCUUCUACCUUUACUGUCCUAACCUUGCCUUUCAAAUUAAGAUAUAAUAGUUAGAAUCUACUAUAGAAUUAAUUUAGAUUCAGUUGUCUCUAUUAACAGAAAGUGAUAUGGUUUUAAAAAAUGCAGAUGAUCAUUUAUGAGAAUCUGGCUGUAAUCAAAAGCAGUAACUACUAUCCUUAGCAGUUCUUUAUUCAGUAAAGAGUUAUCCUCUUUUUGCUAUUCUUUAUUUCAUUUAUUCUUGUGAAAUAUGUUUACCUUUUUAACAAAACUUUCUAUUUUACGUGGCUAGAUAUGUGAUAAAACAAACACGGUAAAAUGUUAAGGAUAGAAUCUAGGUGGUAGGUAUAUGGUCUUCUCUGUAAAAUUUGCUUCUCUUUCACAUUUGCUGUAUGUUUGAAAUUUUCAUGAGACAAUUUUAGAGAAAAAAAGCUUUCUAUUUUGAUUGUAAUAGCCAAUAGCCAAAAACCUUAUUCCAUUUUUGAAAAAAAACCUAGAUAUUUUAAGUUUCUUUUACUUAUCUAAGCAUAACAAUGCAAAUACCAUAUAAUAUAUAUUGAUAAUAUCACACAUUUAGUGAGUUAGAAAAUAUAAAACUGGCUUUUAAUUGUUAAAUAUGUAUACUAUAUACCAUUCAUAUUUUAGCUGGUGGUUUAAAAAGCUAACUUAGGCAUUAUUUAAACUGAAUUAGGGUAAUUACAUCAAAAGUAGUUUCUUAGCCAGAAUAAUUUUCCAUUUUGUUAAAGGAGCCAUGAUGAAAUGAAGUGUUUAGAGAGUUUUAGGAAUAAAAUGUGGGUGUGUAUUCUUUAACAUAGAAUGAAUAUGCUUUCCAGUGGACUUUGGAAUGGGAAAAGUAUCAAUAAAUAAUGCUUAUUAAGCUUCUAACUAGGCAUAGCGCCAGUUAUCUCAUACUUGAGAGAGAAUUUUUUCCUUAAAUAAAUGCAACCAUUGCAUUUUGGGGGUGCUUUUCUUACUGUCUUCAUUCAACUGUUUGCCACAUGUGUGCCUGAUACAUUAUUGAAUCAUAGAAAUAAUGUUUAAAUAUAUGUGGGCUCCCCACCUACCUCCUUUUUAAAGAAAUAGAUAUUAAACACACAAAAAAAUAUUACUAUUGUUUCUUCCCUGAAAUCUUUCAUGGCACACUUGGCUUACAGAGUUUAAUUUUGCUGAAAUAAGAGUUUAUAAGUCAUUUUACCUUUGAUAUUCCAAAGUUGGAAACCUAGAGAUAAUUUUUAAGUAAAAUUUAUCUUUAACCUUUGUAUUAUAAUCUGUAUUUACAUGAGUGUGCAAGUAGCCUCUCUUUAUUAAUGAAAAUAAAGACUAGUGAAAAAAUUUUACAAAUGAUUAACCUAGUUCUUGCAUUCAUUAGGUAUAUUUACAAGUCAUCUGUGAUCAGUUUAGUUACCAUCCCUUUGAUAUCCUGCAGCCAUUAUUGGAUGCCUUUGGGGUUGUGAUAUCAUGCUGGGGAAGAAUGGUUCGGCUGCAGGUUUUAUGUGUCUUUUUAUAGUUGUUCACAAUAUCCCAUGCUAAAUUAUAUGGUGAAUUAUUAUACAUUUGCUAGUUUAAAAGAUGUCUAAUUGAUUUACUAUGCUAAAAUAUCAAAGACUAUAUGCUGCAGGAGUGAUGCUUCCAGUUAACAACUUAUCAUGUAUUCAUGGAGACGACAAUGCUUGCUCACAUAUUGGCACUAUUGUCUAAUUUGGUGUGCCUUGUGUUGUAAUUCAAUCAUCUAUUAUUAAAAGUAGAUGUGGCUGUAGGGAGCAAAACCACAUACAAAUCCAUAAACAUACAUAUGUGCAUAUUUACUUAUACUCACAUAUAUGUUCAAUAAGGUUUUUGUUUUACCUGCUAUUAAUGUUUGUACUAGUGAGUCAUAAAUGGAAAAUAUCUAUUAGCUCUAAGGUAAAAUAAAAUAGGUUUUGAUUUAGUUCAAGUGAACCAUCUCAUUUAAAAUUAGCCCAGGGGUCUUGUAAAGAAUGCAAGUAAUCUAAACAUAAUAAUGCACAUUGCCCAAUUGCUUCUGUGUAUGAUACAGGUUCAGUGCUGUAGUGCUUUGACAGCCCAUUACUGAAUGUAAUGAACAGCUAUUUUUAAACAGAAGAAAUUCAAGUUGACAGCUUGGCAAUGAAAUUCAGCUAGUGGGAUAAUUUUUGUCAUCUUUAGUAUAGAGAAUGGAUUCAGUUUGGUUUAAGCAAAUUUGUAUCAUGUAGUUUAUAGCGCAAACAUUUUUAUUAAAAGAUAAUUUUAUUGUCCAUUUUGUGGAGAGGGGCAGAUGUUACUGUUAAGAAUAUGUAAUCAGCUUUUAAUGAAUACUUUAAUGAAUUACUGAAACAUCAUUUCUAGAACCUAGGUUUAAAAUGAAAUUUCUCAUUUUUCUUUCCUGCCAUGGGUGAAAUAGUCUAAUAAAACGACUAUAAGAUUAAGAGGUGUUUUUCUAUGCUGCUUUUUAGUCUUUCAGAGUUUAAAACAAGUAGUUUUAAGAAAUAAGAUAGUCUUUGGAAAUGGAUAUAAAGCUUGAGGCAGUGUUGUCUUAAUGGAAGUAAGAAUUAGACAAAAUACCAUUGAGAGAGAGAAGGAAAAUGUCUGCCUGACUAUAUUUUAGAGAAAUUCUUUUACUAAGAAUAAGGAGACGGUAACAUCUGAUUUUGACAACUCUUAAAAAAUAAGUUGGAGAAGCUUCGUCUGCAAUUCUUAAAUAAAACAUAUAUUUUUAACUCAUACUAUGAAAAAUAAUAGGGUAAGUCAGAGUGAGUUAUUUCAUUCUCUUCUGUUUACAGCAGAAAUUGUUUGAGAAUUCUAAUUGCUAUUUUUUCUAAGUUGAGCUAAUUGCCAGAGCUUUUAAAAUAGAGACUUCAGGUUCAACGUUGUGCAUUGUGUUAAAUGUGGCUUGAAAAAUACAUUACUCAACGAAAUCUGGGUGAACAAAGUAAGUAAACUGAGUACUUUACCCAAUAUCCAAUAAUGUUUCUGACCCUACCAGUAAAAUAAACUAAAUAUAUAGCAGUGGUGAAAAUUUUAAAAUUGUCAGAAAUCCCCCUCUAAAUGCAUUGCCAGAAAGCUUUGUUCAUGGGUCUUCAUUACCCCUUCAUGCUUCCAGGGCACCUCCUCUGGGUUCCCAAGGCACUGGGAACUUAAAAGUUAGCUUUGCUUAGUAACUAUGCCUUGAAGUAGGAUAAUAAAACAAAUCAUUUUUAAUAGUCAGUAGAUUUUUUUUCCAUUUCUGAUCUGUUUCUCUAUUUUACUUAUCUCUUGGACGGCAUAAUGGCCCCAAACCUAAUAUAGCAAUGAAUCUGUGUAGAAGUCAAGCAUUUUUGGAGAGGCUUUCAUGUUAGGUCACUACUGUACUCUUUAGAAUUGUAUUGUAUCAGUGAAUCAAAAGAAUUUCUUGACAUGAAAGAAUUGGUACACAUCUAUAAACAUUUUAUUUAAACCUAGAGAGGAUAUUAUUUAUCUAACAGAAUCCAGCUUACUUCUAGCAACAGUACCAUCAGUUUGUAGCCUGGUCUUUGAACUCUUGAUUUUGUUGUGAAGUGACCCUCUUGAAAUCUUAAUUUACCCAUGGAUAGAGGACGUUGUAUGAGGCAGAAGGGCAUCAUCACAUUAGCCCUGCUUCUCUAUGGCAUCAUGAGAUGCUAAGAUAAGCACUUGAAAGGUAUUUUAACUUUCUUGAUCUCAGAAUAACUUGAGAAGAAAUUCAUGGUACCCACAUACUGGGUUAACAAAAUAAUUAGUCGCAUUUGGUUAUUUGUGAGGAGGAAACUGUGAAACGUGAAAGUAGGACUGGGGAUUCCAGGACGAAGCCUAGAGAUAGAUUUUUUUUAGAAGGAGGCUUAUCUCUGAAGAUGGGCAGGAUGAAAGAAGUCACCAGCGAUUCCAGUGGAUGCUUUCUGUGUUAUGUGACUACAUUUUUCUUUCUGCUUGCCCUUUGAACUUUGAGGUCUGAGCAGUGCAGGAAGAAGAGAAGAAAUUGCGUUGCCAUGAUACACUGUAAGGGCUUCAGGAAAAUGGGAUAUGGCAGUGGUUUGAAAGAUAUUGAGAAGGUUUCCAACCCAAUUGUCAUUCAUUGCAGCUGUAAGAAUUUAAUGGGAUAUGGUCUAAUGAAGCAUACCCAUUGAAAAAUUCUUAAACUAGUGUCUUGAGAGUCAAAAUUGUUUGCUGGUUAAGACACAUUCUGUCUGGAGCUUGACUGCCUGGGCUUAAGCCCUAUCACUAGCUGUGUAACUUUGACCAAGUUAUUUAACCACUUUGUGCCAUUGUUUCUUUAUUUGCAACAAAAAUCACAACUCCCAGGGUUAGUAUAAGGAUCACAUGGGUUAAACAUUUAAAAUUCUUAAAAAGCUAUUUUUUUUAAUGCAAAAAGAGCUUAAUUUGUGUAAUCUAUUGUUGUUGUUUUAGAAUUCAUUGUAGUUGGAAUGCUGUGUGUCAAAAACGUUGGUCCUUAAUUAAAGGUUAAAGUUAUCAGGAAUCCUAACUUUGAAAAAGGAAAGUCUAAAUGAGAAUUCAAUUCCAUUUGGUUAAUAUUUAUCAUUCAUAAAUAUUAAGUAGCAUGGGAUGGGAUUUAUAAAAUAUUGAAAUCAUAGCUUCUACCCUACUAAUAAACUCUUUGAGGAUAGGGAACAUGCUGUAUGCUACCAGUCUUGUAACCUAAAUGGUGCCUUGUGUAAUUCAAAUAUUUGUUCAGUAAAAGUCAGGUCAACAUGAAUCCAAAUAUAUUGCUAGUACAUAUUAGAUACUUAAUAUGUGUAACUUAAGUGAAAGGAUUUAUUUAUGUGCGUGAGUAUGAAAACAAGUGUUCAUUUUCACUAGUGAUGAAGGACUUGAAUUACAACAAAAGAGUUACAGGUUAUAAAUAGAAGUAAUCUGACUAUAGGGUUGGUAAACAUCCUAGUUCUUUCCUAAGAGAAAUAACAGAAUCUAUAUAUUGUAAAGAAUAGGUUAUCAGGUGACAUUUAACUGUCUUUAUUUGUUGUAGAAGAAUAUUUAGGUCUUUUAGCCCUCUUACCCUCUAUUUCUCAGAAUUAUUAUAUAAAUAUGUACAUUCUUGUGAAAGAAGAAACAAAAAGACCUUGGAAUGAAAAGCUUUAACUACAGCCAAGUUUACCUUUUCUAUACAUGUCAUCCUUUCUCUUUUAGGGGAAGCAACCAGGGGAAAAUGAAGAUAUCACCAUCAGUAGUAACUCUUCCUUUUUUGUUUAAAUGGUAAAUAUGCCUGGGGAGAUGGGACUUAUAAGAAAAGAUGUUUUGGCCAAGGCAUCCUACCUCUGCUUGUCUUCAUGAUCUUCAUUACAAUCAUAGCAGAAAUCCUCAUGCUAAAUGUUUUUCUUUUCCUUCUUUUCUGGGAGAUCAUUAAUCAGCUAUCCUAUUUUCCUAUUUUACGAUUUCUCCUUCUCCAGCCCAAUUAUGUUUUCUACAAAGCUAGUGUCUGGGAUACUAACUCUUAACUCAUUCAAGCAAGCUUCUCGGCUAUAUCAUUACAAUAAAUUCUAUUUAAAAUACUUAGUGAAGUACAGUAUUCAUAAGCCAGUUAUUGCAUUAGGUGUAGCUGCAGUGACACUGAUUAGCAUUCAUCAUAAAGAUAGUUGAAUAUGAUUUAUUUAUAUUUGUAUGUAAGUAUAUAUAUUUUGAAUAUGUACUAUGCUCAUAUGAUUCAAAGUUCAAAAUGGCCUCAAGAGUAUAAACUGUGAAAAGUCUCCUUUCCAUCUGUCCUUCAUCAACCCAGUUUCCCUCUCUGGAAAUAACCACAAUGACUAAUUUCUUUUGUAUUCUUCCAGAGUUAUUUUCUGCAUACAAAUAAAAACAUGUAUGGUUGCAUAUAUUUCUGUAUACUUAAAAAAUGGAGAUGACUCUUUUGUUUUUUGGUUAACAUCACUUUCUGGAAGGCAAAAGAUGAUCAUAAAUUCCUUCUGAGAGUACCAACUUGCCAACUUACCUUAAGUCAUAUUUCUUUCUUUUUAUUUUCUUUCUCUCUUUUUUUUUUUUUUUGAGACAGAAUCUUGCUCUGUCACCCAGGCUGGAGUGCAGUGGCAUGAUCUUGGCUCACUGCAACCUCCACCCCCCGGGUUCAAGCGAUUCUCCCACCUCAGCCUCCCGAGUAGCUGGGACUACAGGUGCGUGUCACCACGCCCGGCUAAUUUUUGUAUUUUUAGUAGAGAUGGGGUUUCACCAUGUUGGCCAGGCUGGUCUCAAACUCCUGACCUCGUGAUCCACCCGCCUUGGCCUCCCAAAAGUGCUAGGAUUACAGGCAUGAGCCACCGUGCCCGGCCCUUAAGUCAUAUUUCUUAAAAGUGCCUAGUGUACAAGAGUCUUUGAAACUAGAAAUAAGUAAGAAGAGAAAGCAAAGAUAGAUUAGAAACCCUCAAUAUUUGUUUUCUUCUUUUGGAAAUUCUCAACAGAAAUUCCAGAUGUUACAAAGUUGAAUUAGCUAGUUCCUCCAUGGCUGCUUGGUGAUGGAUAAGCCAUUCCCCUGCAAAUGAAUAGUGAACCCUCAGAUUCUCUUGGAAGCAUGGAACAGCCUGCACAUUAGUGUAAAGAACAUCCCCCAUUUUGGAGUCAGAUUAAUCUGGGUUUGGAGACACAGAUCUAGCAUUAGGACUUUGUAGCUUUGUGACUUUUUUUUUUUUUUUUUUUUUUUUGCCAGAGUCUCGCUCUGUUGCUCAGGCUUGAGUGCAGUGGUGCAUUCUCGGCUCACUGCAACCUCUGCCUCCCCGGUUCAAACGAUCUUCCCACCUCAGCCUCCCACAUAGCUGGAAUUACAGGCAUGUGCCAUCAUGCCCGGCUAAUUUUUGUAUUUUUAGUAGAGACAGGGUUUCACCAUGUUGGCUAGGCUAGUCUCGAACUCCUGAUCUCAAGUGAUCCGCCCGCCUCGGCCUCCCAGAGUGCUGGGAUAACAGGUGUGAGCCACUGCGCCCUGCCAGCUUUGACUUUUAGCAAAUGACUGAGUCACCUCGUGAAAACUCUGUAAAUAGAGAGUAAUCAAACCAAACCUGUGGUAUAUUUCACACGGUUAAAUGAGAUCAUGUAAGUGAAUACUGUCUGGACAAAAAGUAGGUGCUCAAUAAAUGUCAGCUUCUUUAUUCGCCAUUCUGCCAGUACAUUUAAGAUGAAAAGGUCUGCUUUCAGGGGUUUGUGCUGUUCAGUCUUACUGUGCUUCUCAGAAUUGAAAACAGCAUUUAGAAAGACGUUUUUAUAUAAUUAUUCAUCUUGUAAGGAUGCAAGUGUCAGAAUCUAUUUUUAAUCCAACAACCAGCUUUUCUGUAGUGUUUUAACAGUUUACAAAUGUUAACUUUCCAUUCUCUCUAGGGAGAUGAGAGAAAUCGAUAAAAGGCGAUUACAAGUGAAUACUCCUAUAGCAAUACUUGAUACAUUAAAUUGUUUAAAAGUGUUUUUUUUCUUCUUCCUCUUCUAGUUGCAGUAAUACGAGGUUUCUAAAGGCCAUACGUAACUGUGUACAUAAAGAGGAAAGCUACUUGGGAUAGAAGGACUCUCAGAUUGGGUUUUAACUUCUCAAGUAUAAAAAUAAGACAAGUAGGCAAAAAUAUCACAUUCUGAAGUUUUAAGUGACAGAUAAACAAAUUCAACAUGCACCACCAACUUUUUGAGUUUUAGGUACACUAACUUAUUGUGGGAUCUGGGCCAGCUGCUCUACCUCUGUAGACAUUUCUAAGUGGGAAAAAAAAAAAAGAUUUAGGAAUAGUACCCUUUUCAGAUUCUCUCAGAAUUAUAGUUGUAAGCACUAUGUAAAUUCAUAGAACAUAGUUUUGAAGACCAGCUUUAGAAUUUCAAUAGUUAUUGUAUAUUCAAAACAGCUACACAAGCACUUUAUUUUCAUUUUAAAGAUUUACAAUUAAAGUCAUUUUAUGUAUACCUCAAAUGCCUGAUUAUACACAAACCCAUUACAGGGUUUAUACACACAUUAAAUCCCUUCUUAUUAUGGGGUUUUGUGCACAUUAAAUGCCUGGUUGUUAUAGAUUGUUGUUUUUCUUGUUACCAUUAAAUGUAACAUUUCCCUAGGUGAUGAAAUGUAUUAUUAUUUAGAACAUUUAUUUUAGUGUGUGUUCUGUAUUUUAAAAGAGAAAGGUAUUUAAGCAGCAAAGAUGUAACUGUUAUGAAAUUUAUUUUUAUAAAUAGCUUUCAGCAGAAAUCAGAACAGUGCUUUAAAAUUACAGUUAAAAAAUCAUUUAAUCAUCACACUCCUUGAUGGCUAAUAGAGUAGUAAGUGACUCCCCCAUAUCCCCCGCAAUAGGCUAUUCUCGAUAUGCUCACUUAAGUGGCCCUAAGAAUAGUACUAGUAUAUUUUAUGUUAGCAAGCCUUGAUAGCAAAGUGCCAAAAGUUCAGGGGGCAUUUGUCUCCUUUCUCAAAAAUUCAUUUAAGUCUUGCUGGAGCUUUAACUGGGGCAGACAGCCAUACAAAUGACUUGAGAUAAAAUGAAAAUAAUGGACUGAGCUGGGUGCUGGGGAUGGUAGUUAUGCUGAGCACACAUCAAUAAGCUUGGAGUGUGAUUCUAUGCUAAUGCAAGCCUGAUGGAUCAGCUUUCUCUUUUAGCCUGGAGGACCAUUAAGCUCUGGAAGCUGAGUCAAACUGAUAGAGUUGGCAAAUACAGCCCAUCAGUUAGCAGCAAUAGUUAACUGACUGUGAUUCCUAAUAUGCGAAACUAACAUUGCUUAAAAACCCUCCAUGUUCAGGACAUAGAUCAGAAAGGAGAUAAUAGAUUCUGCUUUAAUUUGCAUAAUCAAAGCUUCUCAUUUUCCCACCUUAUAGUUAACAGAAGAGGGAAAAAAAGCCAUGGCUACCUUCAUUUUGUUGUUAGUCUUGAAUCAUAGCAAAUAAUUUUCAUAAAAAUGUAAAUAACUUGUUUCAAAAUAAAAGAGUAUAUUUGAAAGAUUCUCUGUGUUAUUUCUUUGGAAUUAAACUGUAGGCACAGUUACAUGGGUUGGGUAGUAAGUGUCUUGGGGAUAUGAAAAGUAACAAAGUCUUAAAAAAUUGUGAGUCUUUUUAGUGAUUGAUUAUUUUCAUAUAUAAUUUAUAAAGUUCUAUACUUUUACUUGAGGAUAUUGGCUUUGCAAACUUAUCAAAAACAGUUCAAAUUCUGUUGAAUUCAUAUUUUUGUGUUGUGAGGACUUUCUGUUCAUUUAAAAACAUUUGUUGAGCACCCAUUUAUUUCAGGCACUGCAUUGGACACUGGUGAUGUGGUUGUCCUCUUGGAGCUUACUUUUUUUUCUUUACAGGGGAGGUAAUAAACUAGUAAACAAAGACAUAAUACAGUUUCAGUGAGUGAUAGAUUCUUUUUUUUUUUUUUUUUUUUUUGAGACAGAGUCUUGCUCUGUCACCCAGGCUGGAGUGUGCAGUGGCAUGAUCUCCACUUACUGCAACCUCCACUUCCCAGGUUCACACGAUUCUCCAGCCUCAGCCUCCCGAGUAGCUGAGAUCACAGGCGCAUACCACCACACCCAGCUAAUUUUUGUACUUUUGGUAAAGAUGGCUUUUUGCCAUGUUGGCCAGGCUGGUCUCGAACUCCUGGCCUCAAAGUGAUCCACCCGCCUCAGCCUCCCAAAGUGCUGGGAUUAUAGGCAUGAGCCACCAUGCCUGCCCUGAGUGACAGAUUCUUAAGUAGAGCCUUCUCCAUCUGAGAGAUUCUACUCUGACCAAGUUUUUGCCAAAUAGACUCAAACAUUAAAUAUGCUGUUUUCAAUCACAGGUUUCCAGACGGUCUAAAAAAUUUGUAAAUGUAAGGAAAAUAAUAAAUAAAUUUGUGUUGAAGAAAAAUUAAGGGCUUUUGUGUAUACCUCGUUGUAAUCCAGACUGACAUCUCUGUGAAAACCCUAAUAAAAGUCUAUAUGCACGACUUUCUGAGUGUUUAAUAUGUGCUGGCUCUCUUCUAAGCAGUUUACUCAUUAAAUAUCUCAUUAAAAAAAACCUCUAAAGAAGGUACUAUUAUUCCCAGAUGAGGAAAUUGAGACAAUAAAUGUUAAAUAACUUGCUCAAAGUUAUAUAGCUAGUAAGUGGGUGAGGUGGGAUUAAAACCUAGGCAGUUUGGCUCCAGAGUAAGUGUUCUUAAUCACUGUUACUCUAUGGCAACCUGAAGAAAUUUGUUUAGCUGAAAAUGUAUUGCUACUUUAGAAUGCAAGGUUUGAGAGGACAGGGAAUGCAUCUGUCUUGUUCACCUCUAACUCUGCACUUAGCACUGAACCUGGGUUAUAGAGGGUGGCCAAUAAGUAUUUCUUGAAUAAGUGAGUGUAAAUGACUACUAUUAUAUGUUUAAAUUGAAUAAUAUUUCAUACAAAUUCUUUUCAAAAUUUAUUUUGCUACAUAUGUUUUUCUGGUGCCCUAAAUUAGUAUAUGCCUUAUAUGUACAUUCCAGUGCUAGUUAGAAUGAUAAUACGAUCAAUUCCUAUGGAUGGGGUAAGGGUAGGGCCAGAAUUCCUUGACCUACAUCAUUUCUAUAGCCUAUCUACCCUAGGUAUAUGGGAUUUCUCAGUGGAUCACAUCACAUCGAGCUCAUACUGUGUUCUUGUAUAAUACCUGCUACCCUUGACUCACAGAAUGUUUUGUGUGAUGUCAAGUAGCAAAUGCUUACAUAUUUCUACUUCCAAUUAUGUUUCCUUUCUCCUUAUAUCUUUGGAGAAGACAAUAACAUUAUUCUGUAAGUAUCAAACUGAUAUUAAAUGAUUGAAUGAAUGGGGCUUUCUCCUGUACAUGGUUUGUUUUUAGAAUAUAAAAAUGAAAAAUAAUUUUUCUAAAUAUAAUACACAGGACAACUCAUGUAGAAAAUUCAAAUAAUAAAGAAAAGGGUAAUAAAGUAAAAAUAAAACAUAUUCUCAUUACUCAAAAUAAUUUAUGUUAUCACUUACAUGUAUUAAUUCUCAGUUAACAUUUUGGUAAUCAUCCUUUCAGAUAACUCUAUGUAUACAUAGACACUUACACAUGAUUUUAAAUAAAUGAGUUUAUAAUGUGCAUAUGAUUGGAUAACCUGCAUUUUUUCACUCAAUAAUGAAACUUGGAAAUUUUUUUUCAUGUCAAUGAACAUUAUUAUAGUUUUUAAUGACCUACUCUGUUGUUUGGAUUUAUGAUUAUUUAAUUGGCCUUAUAAUAAUAGAUCUAAAUUCCUUUUUUUGCUUUUAUUUUUGAUGUUCCAAACAAAACUGUAGUGAAUAUGUAUUCAUAUAUCUAUAUGAAUUGUUGCUGGGUCAAAGGUUUUAUUUUUUGGGUCAUGUGUAAUCUGACAGUUUAAAAUUAUACAAAAAUGUGCUGAAGUCCUUGCGUUCAUUGCUUAGGGAGUAUCUGUGUGCAAGAGGAACAUUAUAUGAAUGAAUAGAAAUAUAAUUCAGGUCUCAGCUAUUUAGAAAAAAAAAUGCUUCUUAAUUCUCUUAAUCUAAAGAUUUCUUCUUUAUCUCCUUUUGCUUUUUCUCCUUGCACUUUGUUAAAGAAACUAUUGUUCUGUAGGUUUUCCUGUAGAGUCUGAGUUUUGCUGAUUGCAUCCCCAUAUUGUCAUUUAACAUGAACUGCUACCUUCUGUAUUUCCUAUACAUUGAUCGUUAAAUCUAGAGGCUUGAGCCAAUUCAAGUUUGAUUUUAUUUACUUAUUUAUUCAAAGCUACUUCAUAGGGAGAGCUUUUCUUCUCUGCCAGAAGGCCACAGUAUCAAUCUUAUUGUAGUAUUGUAGUACUUACAGCCAUUCUUGAUCAAUGCCAUGGAUACCUAUGUUAAUGUCUUUGCAGUCCUUUAAGUUGUUCCAGUUUGGAUUUGCAUAACACACCACUUCAAAACUUAAUGGCUUACAGUAAUGUCAGCAAGAAUAGGAAGCCCUAGACCUUGUUUUCCCACAAAGACACUGACUUAACAAUAUAUGACCCAAAAACAUUUAGGAUAGCUCCAGAAGCCAGUUGUGAAUUCACAGCACCCUAGGCAGGAUCAAAGCCAUGAAUAGUUCUAUUGAAAGAGAUAAGACAAGUAGUUCCAUUUGAAUGAUGUCAGCCCCUCUCUUAAGCCAGCAUAGCUCAUAAUAGGGAGGAAAAGCCCAACUCAUGGCUUCUGCCUUGAGAGGAAAACAGAAAAGUGAAAUGUACAUGCAAUAUACUAGCUUUUUAGGGGGUGAAAAAGUAAGGGGUUGGGUGGGAGUUGGGCUGCCCAGAAUGUUGAUUUCAGUCUUGCCUGACUCAGAGUGCUAGCUGAACCAGCAUACCUUGGAUACCUGGGGUCUACAGUGAACAAAAGAGAACUUAGUAGCUUUUUGCAGCACCAAGAACCCUGCCAGUACCACAGACAGGCGCAAGAGGGAGGAAGAAACUAUAAACCGAAAAAGAAACUGACAAACUUCUCUAAUUGGGAAUUUACAUGCAGAGAGUGAGAGAAGAUACAUCUCCCCAUAAAAGGAUUGAGAGGCUGUCAGAUUCUCUGGCUGUGCUGUUUGGUGAAGGUCUUCCCCUAUAGAAAGCCAGUAUGUAAAGAUUGGGAGAGGUGGCUGUUUUUCAAAUGCAAAAAUCACAACAAAAAAUAACAAGGCACACAAAGAAACAGGGAAAUCAGUCAAAGAAACAAAAUAAAUCUCCAUUAACUGACUCCGAAGAAACAGAGAUCUAUUAGUUACCUGAAAAAGAAUUUAUGAUAAUCUUAAAGAAGCUCAAUGUGUUACAAGAGAAUACAGAUAGACAGCUAAAUGAAAUCAGGCAAACAAAGCAUGAACAGAAUGAGGAUAUGAACAAAGAUAUAGAAACUAUAAAAAAGAACAAACUAGAAAUUCUGGAGCUGAAGAAAACAACUGGUUAGGAAAAUUCACUGUGGAAGACCAACAAGAGACUUGAUCAAACAGGAAAGAAUCAGCUAACUCAAAGACAAGUCAUUUGAAAUUAUUGAGUCAGAGUAACAACAGCAACACAAGAAUGAAGAAAAGUAAAGAAAGCCUGAAGGACUUAUGGUGUACCAUCUGGCUGACCAAUAUAUACAUUAUGGGAGUUCUAGAAGGAGAAGAGAGAAUAGGACAGAGAGCUUAUUUGAAGAAAUAAUGGUCAAAAACUUCCAAAAUCUGAGGAAGAAAAUGGACAUUCAAAUUCAAAAAACUCAACAGACUGUAGAUAUGAUGAAUCAGAAGAGGUGCACACUGUGACACAUUAUAAACUGUCGAAUGUCAAAGACAGAAUCUGCAAAGCAGCAAGAGAAAAGCAACUUGACACAUACAAGGGAGCUCCCAUAAGUUAUCAGUGGAUUUCUAUCAGAAAUGUUACAGGUCAGAAAGAGUUGGAAGAUAUACUAAAAGUGCUGAAAGAAAAAAAACUGCCAAUAAUACUGUAUCUGGCAAAAUUAUCAUUUAAAGAUGAAGGAGAAAUAAAGACCUUCUUGGAUAAACAAAAGCUGAGGGAAUUCAUCAUUUAUCAUCACUAGACCUUCUUUACAAGAAAUGCUAAAAGGAAUCUUUCAAGUUGAAACAAAAGGAUGCUAGACAGCAACACAAAAACAUAUGAAAAUGUAAAGCUCUCUAGUGAAGGAAAAUAUAUAGAUAAAUACAGAAUCCUAUAAUCUGUUAUGAAGUGCAUAAAUCACUUAAUUCCAAAGUGAUUCCAAUUUAAAAUUGGAUAUUUAUCUUUUAAAUUGGAUUAUCUUUUAAAUUCCAAUUUAAAAGAUAAAAGCACUGAAAAUAGCUAACUAUAAAACUAUGUUAAUGAAUAUAAAAUAUAAAAAGAUACGUAAUUUGUGACACUGGUAACAUAGAGGGAAGAGAUGUAAAGGAAUGAAAUAUUUAUAUGUGAUUUAAGUUAUCAGUUUAAAAGAGAUCAUUAUAACUAUGUUUUAUGUAAUCCUCAUAGUAACCACAAAGAAAAUACCUACAGAAGCUGCACAAAAAAAAUGAGAACAGAAUAAAAACACAUCACUAAAAAAAUCAAUGAAACAGGCUGGACGCAGUAGAUCACUCCUGUAAUCCCAGCACUUUGGUAGGCCAAGGCAGGUAGAUCGCUUGAGGUUAGGAGUUCAAGACCAGCCUGACCAAUAUGGUGAAACCCCGUCUCUACUAAAAAUACAAAAAUUAGCUGGGUGGUGGCGCAUGCCUGUACUCCCAGCUACUCGGGAGGCUGAGGCACGAGAAUUGCUGGAACCUGGGAGGCAGAGGCUGCAGUGAGCCAAGUUUGUGCCACUGUACUCUGUCAAAAAAAAAAAAAAAAUCAAUGAAACAUAAAGGGAGACAGCAAGAGAGAAAAGGAGAGACAAAAUAACUGGAAAAUAUAGAAAUAGUAAGUUCCAUGGGAACGGUGAGAGCUUCUCUAUCAGAAGUUACUUCAAAUGUGAAUGUUUACUUUAAACUCCUUAAUCAAAGAACAGAGAGUAGCUGAUUUAAUUAUAAAAACUUCAAACAAUAAAUGCUGUUUAUAAGGCACUCACUGUAGAUAUGAAGACUUAGGCUGAAAGUGAAAGGAUGGAAAAAGAUACUCCAUGCAAAUAGCAACCAAAGGAAAAAGGAGGUUAGCCCUACUUAGACAAAAUAAACUUUAAGUCAAAAACUCACAAGAGACAAAGAAGGACAUUAUAUAAUGAUAAAAGGAUCAGUUCUCCAGGAACUCAAAACAAGUCUAAAUAUAUAUGCAUCUAACAGUAGAGCACCCAAAUAUAUAAAGCAAACACUAGCAGAAUUGAAGGAAGAAAUAGUAACGCAGUUAACAGUAGGAUAUUUAAAUAUUUCACUUUUCAUAAGGGAUAGAUCAACUAGACAGAAGAUCAUAAGGAAACAAAGGACUUCAAUAACAUUAUAGUCCAAUUGGAUCUAACAGAUAUACAGAACACUCCACUCAACAACAGCAUAACACACAUUUUUCUCAAGCACAUAUAGAACGUUUUCCAGUAUAAAUCAUGUUAGGCCAUCAAAAGCGGUCUUAACAAAUUUAAGUAGAUUGAAAUCACUUUAUGUAUUUUUUCUGACCACACUGAAAUAAAACUAGAAAUCAACAUCAAAAGGGAAACUGGAAAAUUCAUAAAUAUGUGGUGAUUAAUCAACACACUCUUGAACAACCACUGUGUCAAAAAAAUCACCAGAGAAAUUAGAAAACAUCUGAAGGCAAAUGAAAACGAAUACACAACAUAUUAAAACUUACGGAAUGCAGCAAAAGCAGUACUCAGAGGAAAGUUUAUAGUGGUAGACACAUUAAAAAAGAAGGCUCUCAUAUCAACAAAAUAACUUUACACUCAAGGAACCAGAAAAAGAACAAACUAAUCCCGAAGCUAGUAGAAGGAAGGAUAUAAUAAAGAUUUGAACAGAAAUAAAUAAAAAGAGAAUAAAAAUGAUUUUAAAAAAUUAACAAAACUAAGAUGGCUUUUAGAAAAUAUCAACAAAAUUGACUAGCCAUUAGCUAGACUUAAAUAAAAAAAGACAAGACUCCAAUAACAAAAAUCAGAAAUGAAAGAGCAGACAAAACAACGGAUGCCACAGAACUGAAAAGGACUAUAAGAGACUACUAUGAACAAUUACACAGCAACACAUUUGAUAACCUAGAAAUGGAUAAAUUUCUAGAAACAUAUAACCUACCAAGACUGAAUCACUAAGAAAUAAAAAUAGGCCAGUCACGGUGGCUCACACCUGUAAUCCCAGCACCUUGGGAGGCCAAUACAGGAGGAUUGCUUGAGUCCAGGAGUUUGAGAUCAGCCUGGGCAACAUAGUGAGACCCUGUCUAUACAAAAAAUAAAAGCAAAAUUAGCCAGGCAUGGUGGCACAUAGCUGCAGUCUCAGCUACUCAGGAGGCUGAGGUGGGAGGAUUGCUUGAGCCUGGGAGGUCAAGGCUGCAGCAGUGAGCUGUGAUCAUGACACUGUACUCAGCAAGACCCUGUCUCCAAAAACAAAAACAAACAGGUGGCUCACGCCUGUAAUCCCAGCACUUUGGGAGGCCAAGGCAGGCAGACCACCUGAGAUCAGGAGUUCGAGACCAGCCUGGCCAACAUGGUGAAACCCUGUCUCUACUAAAAAUACAAAAAUUAGCCAGGCAUGGUGGUGGGUGCCUGUAAUCCCAGCUGCUAGGGAGGAUGAGACAGGAGAAUCCCUUGAACAUGGGAGGCAGAGGUUGUAGUGAGCUGUGAGCUGUGAUUGCACCACUGCACUCCAGCCUGGGUGACAAGAGCGAAACUCUGUCUCAGAAAAAAAAACAAAAAAAAACAAAGCCAAACCAACAAACAAAAACUCACCACCACCACCACCAAAA